AGCCACCACCCUCUCGAUUACCUUGCCCAGCCAGGGGAGAUUGGAGAGUGGCCUAUAACUAUCCAUCGCUGAGGGGUCCAGGGUAGGCUUCUUAAGAAGAGGUCUAACUAUUGCCUCCUUCAAACAAGGAGGCACCCUACCCUCCCCCAGAGAUGCAUUUAUGAUAUUAACUAGGCCAUCUCCAACAAUCUCUCUGCUAGAUUGAAGUUCAUAGAAUGAACUGCGCAGGCGCGCCUCGCAGUUGGGAAGCGACGCUGGGCCAGACGGCAGGCCUCGGCGUCACUCUGCGCACUCGACGAUCCGCCGCCGCUGCCGCGCUCACUCCCGCCGCCGCCCGCCACCGCUGCGCGAUCCGCCGCCGCCCGCCGCUGCGGCGCUCACUCGGUCACUCCCACGCUGCCAUUGUGCGCCACAAGCCAUGGGGCACACGAUCCGCUGCCUCCCACCACCGCUGCACGAUCUGCCACCGCCCGCCUCCGCCGCGGAUUCCGGCCAGGGCACAGGAAAGAUGAUGUGGGGCACUGGCACAUCCUAUCCUUCUUGUUUGCCAUUCAGAAGAUCAAUCAAGACCCAAGGAUAUUACCCAACAUCACCUUGGGCUACAACAUCUAUGAUGCAUUUUUUGAUGGAAGAAUUACUUCUGAUGCCAUGAUAGAUCUUCUAGCUGGUGGGAAAAACCAUAUUCCCAGCUGUGGAAGAUGGAAUUGCCCAUUGACUGUUCUUGAAGGAUCUGAAACUGACAACUCCAUCCAAAUUUCAGCCAUCUCAAGCAUCUACAAAAUCCCACAGUCAACAGAGAGGCACAGCCAGGAGGGAACACGCAUAGCAUGUGGAGGACGCACGCAAGACAACAACACUCCGCAAGUGGAGCAGCAAGGCUUGGCAUGUUGUUGUUGCCCCCUCCUAGCCCACACAGCUUUGAAGAGUAAUGCAUGGAUGAUGAUGGCAGAUAAGAAGAGAAUGGCAGCACGCACGUGUCUCUGGACAUUUCUUUUCCGCAACCUGUCUGACUCUGUGGCAUGUGAUCGCCGCAUCUAUGUAUGGGCAAGCAAUCUUCAAAUAAAAUGCUGUCAAUCAACUCUCAAA